GCUCUUUCAGGGUCCGAGUUGUAAUUUGCAGAGGGCGCUUUGGCAUAGGCAGCGAUUCAAGUUCCUUGGAACAGGACGUCACAGAGGGUGAGAUCCCCGUACGUGGUCGCCAGCUCUUGCCGUGUAAAGCCCCUUCGACGAGUCGAGUUGUUUGGGAAUGCAGCUCUAAAUGGGAGGUAAAUUUCUUCUAAAGCUAAAUAUUGGCCAGAGACCGAUAGCGCACAAGUAGAGUGAUCGAAAGAUGAAAAGUACUUUGGAAAGAGAGUCAAAAAGCACGUGAAAUUGUUGAAAGGGAAGCGCUUGCAGCCAGACUUGCCUGUAGUUGCUCAUCCGGGCUCUUGCCCGGUGCACUCUUCUGUAGGCAGGCCAGCAUCAGUUUGGGCGGUUGGAUAAAGGUCUCUGUCAUGUACCUCUCUUCGGGGAGGCCUUAUAGGGGAGGCGACAUACAACCAGCCUGGACUGAGGUCCGCGCAUUCGUGCUAGGAUGCUGGCGUAAUGGCUGUAAGCGGCCCGUCUUGAAACACGGACCAAGGAGUCUAACAUCUAUGCGAGUGUUUGGGUGUCAAGCCCGAGCGCGUAAUGAAAGUGAACGGAGGUAGGAACCCUUUUGGGUGCACUAUCGACCGAUCCUGAUGUCUUCGGAAGGAUUUGAGUAAGAGCAUGGCUGUUGG
rnacentral:rRNA from 1 species